rnacentral:rRNA from 1 species
UGGGGAAUUUUGGACAAUGGGCGAAAGCCUGAUCCAGCAAUGCCGCGUGUGUGAAGAAGGCCUUCGGGUUGUAAAGCACUUUUGUCCGGAAAGAAAUCCUUGGCUCUAAUACAGUCGGGGGAUGACGGUACCGGAAGAAUAAGCACCGGCUAACUACGUGCCAGCAGCCGCGGUAAUACGUAGGGUGCAAGCGUUAAUCGGAAUUACUGGGCGUAAAGCGUGCGCAGGCGGUUUGCUAAGACCGAUGUGAAAUCCCCGGGCUCAACCUGGGAACUGCAUUGGUGACUGGCAGGCUAGAGUAUGGCAGGAGGGGGGUUAGAAUUCCACGUGUAGCAGUGAAAUGCGUAGAGAUGUGGAGGAAUACCGAUGGCGAAGGCAGCCCCCUGGGCCAAUACUGACGCUCAUGCACGAAAGCGUGGGGAGCAAACAGGAUUAGAUACCCUGGUAGUCCACGCCCUAAACGAUGUCAACUAGUUGUUGGGGAUUCAUUUCCUUAGUAACGUAGCUAACGCGUGAAGUUGACCGCCUGGGGAGUACGGUCGCAAGAUUAAAACUUAAUGAAUUGACGGGGUCAUAGCUGUUUCCU